AGCAAUCUUUAAUUGCCUUUCGAGAUCCCCCGUUGGAAUGGAAGAAUUAACAACAUAUUGGCAGCUGACCGCGUGCACUGUUUUUCGAUAAUUGCACUCUUACUGAGUUUGAAAUUUAAUAUUUUGUGAUGAAUGAUAGUUUAACUUUUAUAAAAUCUUCGAAACAAAUAAUAACUGUACGUGUCUUCAGGGCAUCUAUGUAUAUAAUUGGAAUACGUGUCUACAUACGUGAGAGUGACAGACACGCUACGUGAACGAAGCAUACAAAAACCCGUUCCAUACUAUUCGUAAUUAACUUUCAUUGAUCGAACGGCUAAAUCAAUAGCGGAGCAUAAUCGAGAAUACGGAGCACGGAUUGCAUGUAGCUCUUCAACCAACAACAACGAAUUGAUUAUGAAGGCAUCACAGCAAAAUGCAAUGCAAUCACAGCAAAAUGCAAUCACAAAUGAUAUUUCAAUGGGCAAUAGUCAUUUUUAGUUUCGUUGAUAUUUUCAUAAUCAAGAUUGUUCCCAAAAUUUACAAAAUGAUCAUCGCUUAAUUAUUGUUCAAGCUGACAUCCAUCUCCAAGAGUGAUAUUUGCCCUCACAACAUCUUGUUGAAAAUACAAUCCCGAAUAAUUUACUGAUAAUAUGAAUAUAAUAUGCGAAAAAAGGCUAAAAUACAAUAUCAAAGCUUACUUUGCUAAAUGAUGGCAUAUGUAUUGUGCAUAAUGAUCCUUUCAAUCAAGAAAGCACAGCGAAAAUACCUUCAAUCCACAAAUCAACAAUUUUAACCAUCGUCGGCGAUCUUGAGAAUUAGUGAUCUUGAGAUUAGUGAAACAUGUACUGAAGCACCACACGUGCCUUAUAGUGAUUAUAAUCGUCAUAAAAAAGCUCACAUGGAAUUAAGAACAAAAUUCCUUCACAAUUAAUUUAGACAUAUCUGCACUGUUAGUGACAGGUUGUGGUUUAAAGCUGAUCUGAAAUAUCCGUCGCCUGAGCAUGAAGAAAUUUUACUAACAAUAUUAACCAAUUUGUCUAUGAAUGAUAUAAUAAGUUGCAACACUUGCUCGUUAUCAUUGAAAAGGAAAAAAAUUCCAGUUAUGUCUGUCUACAACGGAUUCAAAUAUCCCGAAAUUCCUGAUUAUUUACCACUGCGGGAUUUGGUUACUGAGAGACCUAUUUCACCACGUAUUUCCUUCAGGAGAUUACGACACGUUAACGGUCAACACGGACAAGUCAUAAAUGUUUCCGUUUUAGUGAAUACAAUGAUAAAACGUCUGCCAGCAACAUCGAUGAUGAUAUAUAUAUAAAUGUACCAACUACUACCAUUGUAUAAAAUAUAUGCCAUUACAGUCAAUCAGUAAUUUUUCAAUAACAAUACAAUUCUCCCUGCAACUCUAUGUCAGUGAACAUAUUUAGAUUGAAGAGAUUCUUACUGCUCAACAGCAAACGCUGUUAUGGAACGAAGACCAAUACUUACGAAUUGCGCCAGUAGAACAUAAUAUUCCGCAAAGUUUAUUGUUCGAUAAACAUGCGGAAGAGUUUUCCUUUCCAUCGACAUAUUUAGGUCAAUUUCGAAUCUUCAAAGAAGACGUAAGAGUGACACCAUUUAUGAUGGCAUCAAGUGAGCUAUGAAGAUCGGAUCGUCCCAACAUAACGCCAUAUGACUUGUUGUAUAUGGCUAUGAAAAUCAUAUUGGUAAAAAUACCUUAAUCACACGUCAACAAAUCGAUAGAUGAUCAAUACAUCAACAAUUGCAUUGAAUCUAAUCUCGCGUUUCUGCGAUCGAUUCCCAACUCUAUGUGGUAUUGGAGUAAUCGUAAAGAAAACCUCUUCCCUAUGAUAAGACAGUUAGGCAAACCAACUUUAGUUUUGACAGUAAGAGCUAAUGAAAUUGGCUGGAAUGACUUGCUCAAGAAAAUAUACAAACUGAAACAUCGCUGUGACAUGUGCCAUUUAUUUCAAUAAAUUAGUAUUAUCUUAAUAGGUAUUUUACAGUCAAAUAAGUUUAGCCCAUUUGGCAGCUACUAUGUUGUUGAUUACUUCAAGAGAAUCGAGUUCCAACAUCGAGGGAGUCCACAUGCACACAUUUUACUGUGGCUGGCAAAUGCUCCAUGCAAAGCACUCGCUAAAAAUAAAAACGUUUCAGUAGCAUUAAGUGACAAUUUAAUAUCGGUUUCAAGCGCAGAAGCUUCAGGAAAUAUAAAAUUACAGACACAUACGUUGACAUGCUAUAAAAAAUGGACCUCAACAAUGCAGAUUUGAAGCACCUUUUAUGCUCUGCCGAAAGACAAUAAUUGUAUCGCCAAUGCAGAGAGAAGAACCUGGUUUUCAUGAUUAUGCUCAUUACAAAAGUAUCAGACUAACCCCCCCUUAUACGUUAUAGCAAAUAUGACAUGGGACAAGCCUUAAAUAACUAUAAGGGAGAGAUGGUUUCUUUACAUUAUCCAUUUCGCAAUGAAGAUGCUGAAAUACUAGCAUAAUUAAAAUUAUAAUAUAUGAUGAAAACGCAUCCUUCUGUGAGCGCAUGAGAAUGGCGAACGAAAAGCGAAGUGAACUAUGGCGAAAUGUAAUUUUACAUUUAUUAUCUGGAAAUCUCAAACCAUUUCAAAUAUUUUUAUUGGGACCAUCUGGUUGCGGCAAAACAUUUGUGAUCAAACUUAUAAUGGACAUUUAUAAUCGCCUCACCAAUAAUGACGGACAUUACAUUGGAUACAUUACAUGGCUUCAACUGGUAAAGCUACCGUAGCUAUUGAUGGUACCACUGUACACACGGCACUUUCAAAAUUGCUUCCAGUGAGUGUGGAAGUAGCUCGUCAAUAUCGAGCAUUAUUUAAGUAUGUUAAAGUAGACGAAGUAAGUAUGAAUGGCGCGGAAUUACUUACACAAAUCGAUGAACGCCUAAAACAAAUUACUGGACAAUAUAACAUCAUCUUCGAUGGUUUGGUAGUCAUCUUUUUUUGGUGAUUUGCGCCAGUUACCGCCUAUUAGAGCUACACCAAUCUACAAGCCAGUGAAACAGAAGAUUGUUGGACCCCUCUUGUGGAGAGGUCUUAAAUUUUUCAAAUUAGUACAAGUAAUAAGGCAGGCCAAUUAACAAUUUUCAUCAAUUUUAACGAAAAUUUACGAAUCGGAAUCGAGAUUUUGCACAGUUGAAGAAGCAAAUGUUAUCCGCAUGGAAUACAUAUAUAUAUUGGACGCACAUAUGCAGAACAAGAAGCCUUUGUACGUCAGAAGCUCCAUAAAAUGUCACUCAUUGAUUCUGCAGGACUACCAUAUGACACUGUGUUUGUUAAUGGUAUAUUUUAUGUGAUAACUACAAGUAUUGAUGUGACAGAUGGUUUAGCAAAUGGUGCCGUGGGAAACUAGUCAAUAUUGUUUGGGAUGCUACAGGUGGAAUCACGAUCGCCAGGUUAGAGGUUGUGACCUCUUCAUUCAUUUAUUAAAAUUUGGUGAAAGAAUUAGAAAAAAGUUUCAGGGUAUGUAAGCGCAAAUCAAAUAAGUAAAACAGAAGUAACAAUCCGUAGAAAAGCAGCUACUACACCUCUCAAUAUUAACAAAAGAAUCCAUGCGAAAUGAUCACAUAUGCCAUCACUUUGUGCUGUGCAAUUACUAUACAUAUAUCUCCAGGAAGUAUUAUAUUUAUUCUGAAGUUAUAAAUGAGUAUGAUAAAAAAACAGUCGCAAUCUUUAGUAACAUAUAUGUCGCUGUGUCACGUGUAGCUAGUUUCAAUGGAUUAUGGAUAAUUACAACAGUUGACGAAGACUUUCGAUGAAUUGUUUAGAAACUGUUGAUAAAUAAAUGCUUUAUUUUAUUCGCCAAUUGAAAGGAUAAUCAAUAUACACCCUUUAUUGAAAUUGUCAUUAGAGCGAUCUAUAUAUCUCCUAACCAAAAAAAAUUGAGGAUAUCAUGCAUUUCAUACAUAGUUCGUUGAUUAUAUACACUCCCAUUGUUACUACUUCACUUUCUUCGUGAAAAACUCGGUUUAGAUAUGAAUAACAACCGGGAAAAUGCCACGACUAAAUCAGGAACAACGAUUGAUGCGAUAUUCUUCAGAAAUCUACACUAUUUAGAAUCACGAACAUAUGUUUCAUACUGAAGCCAUAUUAUCCGCUAUACCUAUACCUGUUUCGACUGAAGAUAAUUUACAAA